rnacentral:lncRNA from 1 species
CAAGUCUGAAGGUUUCGUAUGCCCUUGUUUGCAAUGGCAUAUAUUGCACAUAUAAUGGCAUAACAUUGCAGAUAUUUACACAGAAUCACAGGUGAAUAAUUCUCUCUCCCUUUUAGGGCCCAUCAGCUUUGUGGGCUGGGUUUAGCACGUUGGUGCAGAAGUCUGAGAAAGGGGCGAAUACAGCACAGGGACCCUUGCAGACGUGCCCGAGGCUCACUGAUGAAACACAGCAAAUGAAGCAUUUCCUGAAGAGGCAGGCUAUGAUACAAUUAACUAAUUAGACUCUGAUUCCUCCUACUUGUUGGAAGACACCAAUGAAACACAAUUUACCACCUGUAAAUAUGUAAGUAAAUAUCUAUUUUUAUUUGCUCUAGAAGG